rnacentral:rRNA from 1 species
GACAGGGGGGGCAAGUGUUAUUCGGAAUGACUGGGCGUAAAGGGCACGUAGGCAGUGAAUCAGGUUGAAAGUCAAAGACGCCAGCUCAACUGGCGGAAUGCUUUCAAAACCAAUUCACUCGAGUGGGAUAGAGGGGAGUGGAAUUUCGUGUGUAGGGAUAAAAUCCGGAGAUAUACGAAGGAACGCCGAAGUAGCGAAGGCAGCUUUCUGGGUCUCUACUGACGCUAGGGUGCGAAAGCUUGGGGAGCAAACAGG